AUAAAAGCGAUGAAAGGGCUAGUAGAUAUCAGACGCUUGACAGGGAGAGGGAGCCAUUGAUUGAGAGCCCCUUAAAGUAGGAAAUAUCGAAAGACACCCAAGGAGCUUCCAAAUUGAAAUAAUAGUAGAUUUGGACGAAUUUCCGCGUUAAGGAAUAAAGAGAUGGAUACUAUCCAAGCAGGGUGGCACCGCGAGAAAGACCUCGUCCCUGAC
rnacentral:ncRNA from 1 species